rnacentral:lncRNA from 1 species
UAUGAGAUUGAUUAGAUUACAAACUUGAUGAACUUUCUAAAGCAGAAUGUUUUGAAAUGAGACAAUAGAUAUAAAAGCAUAGGAAAGAAAAGAUGAAUUUGUAUGCAGAUUGACUUGUGAUUCCUGUGUCAUUUCAUAACAGUGUCUCUCCUUCAGGCUCCCUCUUGUUCCAGCAACUUUUCCCUGGCUGCCUUGAUUCAACAUCUACAAAACCCACAUGGGAAAAAAGAUCUAGGGGAAAAAAAUCAUCCUUUCUGUCCCAGCAGAAGCCUGGCUCUGUGGCUGCUCUCCAUUUCAUAAACUUGCUUAUCUCUGAGCUCUACUGCAAACUAACAGGGUCUCCUCACUGAGAGGGAUCAGCUGCUCCCAGGACUGUGAGACUCCUCCAGGACUGCUGUAGCUUAGGAUAGGACUGACAGCUGCAGAACAAUCAAAUCCAAUAAGAAAAAAAGAUCUACGCAUUUCCCAAAGACAACUAAAGGAUGAGCAAGGGCAUAAUUGAGGCACAACACAGGAAAAGAAUUUUCUCCAGUUGCUUUGGAGGGGAAAUGCAGAGUGCUGUGAAAUUUCUCCCAUGCUGUUUGGUAACAGCCAACAAGCUGAAGCAGUUUCACAGAGGUUUUGAUGAGUUUCUAUAUAUCAUCUGAUCUGCAAUAACUUGGUAUGUGCUCUUAAUCCACACAAAUGAUAUCAAAAUAUCUUUGAGAAAAAAUUUAGUGUCCUUUUGUUCAUUCUCUUUUUUCCUCACACUUUUACUGGUAUGCCCUCCUUUUUCUAAUUUUUAUUUUCUACCUCCUGCUUCAGUUUUCUUUCUGGUUCACUUGAGCCAGAAUUUCUCCCUGCAUCUCUAAUCCCCUUACUUUCUCAAAGCUAUAGUUCUUUUUUAUUCACAUUUUGAGCAUGUUUCCAGCUUCUACCUCCUGAAACUUAGUGAAGGAGACCUAAGGGUUGCGUUUCCUAACCAGAUGUUUUCAAUGGUGUCUCCACAGAAAGAGCGGGGUUCAUGUGAAGCAGAGCUGUAUGCGUGUGGUUAGGGGGUGUUCACACAGGGCGAUUAAUUCCCGAAUUAAUUAAUUCCUGAAUUAAUUAAGAGGGGAAAUCCUUGUGCAGGUAAA